CAAAGGCAUGGUCCUGACCUUAUUAUCAGCUCUUACCCGACUUACACAUGCAAGUCUCCGCAAUCCCGUGAGUAUGCCCUCAAUCCCCUGCCCGGGGACGAGGAGCGGGCAUCAGGCACAAACUUUAGCCCAAGACGCCUGGCCAAGCCACACCCCCAAGGGAAUUCAGCAGUGAUAAACAUUAAGCCAUAAGUGAAAACUUGACUCAGUCAAGGUAAAGAGGGCCGGUAAAACUCGUGCCAGCCACCGCGGUUAAACGAGAGGCCCUAGUUGAUAAAACCACGGCGUAAAGGGUGGUUAAGGAAAGCAAACAAAUUUUAAAGCCAAAUGGCCCUUUGGCCGUCAUACGCUUCUAGGUGUCCGAAGCCCAAUUACACGAAAGUAGCUUUAUUAAAGCCCACC
rnacentral:rRNA from 1 species